GAUGAACGCUGGCGGCGUGCCUAAUACAUGCAAGUCGAGCGAACGGACGAGAAGCUUGCUUUUCUGAUGUUAGCGGCGGACGGGUGAGUAACACGUGGAUAACCUACCUAUAGGACUGGGAUAACUUCGGGAAACCGGAGCUAAUACCGGAUAAUAUUUUGAACCGCAUGGUUCAUAAGUGAAAGACGGUCUUGCUGUCACUUAUAGAUGGAUCCGCGCUGCAUUAGCUAGUUGGUAAGGUAACGGCUUACCAAGGCAACGAUGCAUAGCCGACUGAGAGGGUGAUCGGCCACACUGGAACUGAGACACGGUCCAGACUCCUACGGGAGGCAGCAGUAGGGAAUCUUCCGCAAUGGGCGAAAGCCUGACGGAGCAACGCCGCGUGAGUGAUGAAGGUCUUCGGAUCGUAAAACUCUGUUAUUAGGGAAGAACAUAUGUGUAAGUAACUGUGCACAUCUUGACGGUACCUAAUCAGAAAGCCACGGCUAACUACGUG
rnacentral:rRNA from 1 species